CCCUGACCUCCCUGGCACGGGUGGCCACUGGCAUUUUAUUACCUGUGCUUGUAGCCAGCAAAAUCAACAAGUAAGACCAUUACGGAGAAAUCCAGAAAGAAACAGACACACUGCAGCCCGAGUUCUUCUCAGAUGGGAAAGCCAUCCAUUCACCUUCAAUUCCAGAAAAGCUCAUCCCCAAAAGAAGACAACGCUGCACCUGAAUCAGUCAGUUGGUAUGAAUCCACCACAGGAAUGACAGCAAGGAACAGAUCAACAAUCAGAUAUCAGACCGUCUGUCCGCAAGAGUGAAGCUGAGCUGGUGGGCAGGGACCGCUCUGACCAAGGCUGGAUGGCCCAGGACAUCUUUUGCCCCCCCUGAUAAGCCAAGUCCUAAAGUCAGGACCUCAAGGACGGACUCCAAGGGGUCUGGGGAGGGGAGCAAUACGUGGAUGUAACCCUUAUCUGUUCCCCUUUCCAGUGCGGCCACGCCGAAUAAUCUCCAUUCUCCGAUUUUCACAUCACACAUCUCUGACUGACUGAGCCUCGCUGGGAGCAGGGCUUUUUUGUUGUUGGUGGUGGCGGUUUUGGUUUUUUGAGACAGUAGCCUCACGUAGCCCUAGCUGACCUUGAACCUGCUACGUAGUGAGGAUGACUGAGAACUCGGGCUCCUCCCUCAAGGACUGAGAUUACCAGUGUUCACUACCUCAUCUGAUGUACGAAGUACAGGGAGUGCCAGAGCUUCACACAUGAUAGGCAAGCGCUCUACCAACUGAGCUAGUACUAUCCCUGGAC
ensembl:antisense Gm11365 predicted gene 11365